rnacentral:rRNA from 1 species
AUACGGAGGACGCGAGCGUUAUCCGGAUUCAUUGGGUUUAAAGGGUGCGCAGGCGGCCGUGCAAGUCAGCGGUGAAAGCCCGGGGCUCAACCCCGGAAGUGCCGUUGAUACUGCAUGGCUGGAAUGCGGUCGAGGCGGGCGGAACGGGGCGUGUAGCGGUGAAAUUCGUAGAUAUGCCACAGAACGACGAGAGCGGAGGCAGCUCGCCAGGCCUGCAUUGAGGCUCGGGCACGAAAGCGUGGGAUCGAACAGGAUUAGAUACCCUGGUAGUCCACGCCGUAAACGAUGGGCGCUCGUCGUCGGCGGCAGACAGUCGGCGGCCAAGCGAAAGCGAUAAGCGCCCCACCUGGGGAGUACGGUCGCAAGGCUGAAACUCAAAUGAAUUGACGGGG